rnacentral:tRNA from 1 species
AGUUAAUGAACUUGUUAUAAGUAUAUGUUUUGAAAACAUAAUAAAGGGAUUUAAAUCUCUAUUAACUU